CGGGAAUUUUGGGCAAUGGGCGAAAGCCUGACCCAGCAACGCCGCGUGGGGGAUGAAGUAUUUCGGUAUGUAAACCUCGAAAGAAUGGGAAGAAUAAAUGACGGUACCAUUUAUAAGCUCCGGCUAACUACGUGCCAGCAGCAGCGGUAAUACGUAGGGAGCAAGCGUUGUUCGGAUUUACUGGGCGUAAAGGGCGCGUAGGCGGCGCGGUAAGUCACUUGUGAAAUCUCUGAGCUUAACUCAGAACGGCCAAGUGAUACUGCUGUGCUAGAGUGCGGAAGAGGCAACCGGAAUUCUUGGUGUAGCGGUGAAAUGCGUAGAUAUCAAGAGGAACACCUGAGGCGAAGGCGGGUUGCUGGGCCGACACUGACGCUGAUGCGCGAAAGCCAGGGGAGCAAACG
rnacentral:rRNA from 1 species